CGACCGGCCGCGCCGCGCCUCGGGGCGGGGUUAAGCCUCAUUACACGGGAUUUAACGUGGCCCGGAGGCCGGGAGGGACUCCGGCUCCGAAGGGGAGCGGGGGGAGAGGCGGAGGCGCGGCCGUGAGGCCGAAAUAAAGUCCGGCCCCGGGCUUUCCCCCCGGGCACCGCCCUGAGGGCAGCCCUCGAGGCGCCCUGCCCGUUAACCCCCCGCCCUCUUUCCGCCCGCAGCCAACGCGGGGCCCCCGGCCGGGCCUCCCCGCUCCGGUCCUCCUUCGGGCCACUUUGUCCCACGCGUGCGGAGAGCGGCGGGCAGAGCGCGACUGCUGGGGUCGUGAGGGCAGGCAGCUUCAAAACUUUCAACUGCAAUUUUACCUUCUGUUCUUCCUGAAAUAAGCAUUUCUGUGUUCGUGGCAUUGUUCCUAAAAUAUAAGUGAGACCCUGGCGGUACUGAUUAAACGAGGCAUGUUUGCAGUUCUGACUGCAGGGCAUCUUCAGUUGUCCCAGUGUGCUCAAUGAGAAACAGUGAUGUUUUCAUUUGUAAUAAUAGAACAAGUUGAAGACGGCACAUUGCAUUAAACCAUCUAGUUAAGGAGAAGGAUCUUGGUUUGGAAAUCACUGAAGGAAAGUGACAACUGCCAUGUAAAUAUGCUUGUUAUGUAAAUACCAGACACACUACUGUACAGCUAAAAGAGUCUAUGUAACAAGUAGUGAGAAAUAAGAUCACUCUGGAUUCUAUCUGGAAUGGGAUCCAGACACUUUUAUGUCAUUAAUUCCAAAUUCUGACAGUUUAAUGAUUGUUCAGUUGUGCACCAUAGUCAACAUCAGCUGACUGCAAGGUACUGCUCGGAAAGCUGGUGAGUCUGCUGCCAGAUCCAUGGUGUGACAGUGGAAAGGUGCAGUGUGUAAAGCCAUGUUAAAGUGUAAGCUCCCCAUCCCUUGCCUGCUUUAACAUGAUUAGUUUAGUGUGUGUUAAAGGCAGGCAGCCUUGCCUGCGCUGUGAUGCAUGUGCUAUCAUCACACCUUUACACCUUAGUCUCGCCAAAGCCUGAGGCUUUUUCAUCAUAUUAAGCUACUUUGACUGGGCUAAACGUAACUGAGAAACACACCCAUUUCAUCCAUUAAGAUGGGGCCAAAAAUGCUAAGUGCUUAAGAUGCAAGCCCUCAGGGCUUGCCUAUAUAUCGAGUUAUUACACGUGGAGACUUUUAUCUUCAUUAGAAAAUGUUCUUUUUGUGCAUGCCAAAGUGUGAGUUUAAAAGUGGUGGUUAUUCUCUAACCCUCGUGCAGGGCUCACUCAUUCUGCAACUUCUGGCUUUUUUCAGAUUAACUUCUUCCAAGUAAUUUAAAUUAAGUCAAAAAAGGUGCUCAUAUCAGAUGAAGUUUGCAUACAAGGAGUCACACUUGCCUACGCUGCAGUGGUAGUAGCUGACUGCAUAAAUAACUUCACUGAAGACCACUGCGUCCUGAUGAAAGUUUGUUCUGUGCUUAAGGGUUUGCAGAAAUGUGUAAAUUUUUCCUGAACUUGCAGUUUCUAUCAUUUGUUUUUGUAAUGUAACGAUGGACUGUGCCACGUUAUGUGGCAUUUUGUUAUUUGGAGUUUCUUAAUCAUCCACAAGUUACUUACGAACUUCAGUCUGUUCCAUCUUUGCUGUUUGUCUGAUUGGUGGCAACGCAUGCGUUGCUUACAACUUCAUUAAACUAAAAUUUUAUAACCAUUAA